ACAAAUAUCACCCAACUCAACUCAAGAAACCCACCCAAUCUAAUCUCGGUAUCAUAUCACUAAAAUAAGAUAAAUGAACAACAAACAACUGCAACUAAUCAAGCCAUUUUUUCUUGCCUUUGAAAAGCAUCGAGUAUAAAUAAACCGAAGAGAACAAAACUCUCCCUGAAUCAAUCCGGAAAACCCCUUUUCCAGCAUAAACAGCGUUAAAUUCCAACCAAAUAUCUCCAAAUUCUAGCAAAAAAAACAGCUCUCCACCAAAUCCGGACAAUUUCUUGUCAAAUCGGCAGGAGAGCUCUUCCGGCAAAAACAAAAUGCUAAAUCUCGGGCUUUAACAAACCCUAGAUGAGCGAUUUCAAUGGUGCAAUCAAAGUCCUAGAUCUCCAUUAAAGAGAGGGAGGGAGGGAGAGAGAGCAAACUAGAGAGAGAAAGUUAUAGAAAGCGUUUAGGAUUCGAGGGAUUAAUACCUACUUAAAUGUAGCCGAAUGGAGAUAAAAAAAAGAGAGGAAAAAG
rnacentral:lncRNA from 1 species